rnacentral:rRNA from 1 species
AUUGAACGCUGGCGGCAGGCCUAACACAUGCAAGUCGAACGAGUGGCGGACGGGUGAGUAAUGUCUGGGAAAAUGCCUGAUGGAGGGGGAUAACUACUGGAAACGGUAGCUAAUACCGCCUACCAUCGGAUGUGCCCAGAUGGGAUUAGCUAGUAGGUGGGGUAAAGGGUCACCUAGGCGACGAUCCCGAGCUGGUCGGAGAGGAUGACCAACCACACUGUAACGGUGACACGGUCAAGACUACGUAGGUAGGCAGCAGUGUGAAAGAUUGGACAAUGGUCGCAAGCCUGAUGCAGCCAUGCCGCGUGUAUGAAGGAGGCCUUCGGGUUGUAAAGUACUUUCAGCGAGGAGGCGUUACCCGCAGAAGAAGCACCGGCUAACUCCGUGCAAGCAGCCGCGGUAAUAC